rnacentral:rRNA from 1 species
GCGCCCANCGAGGUUGGCCAACNCACCGUUUUAUUGGGGCCUUAAAGCGUUCCAGUAUGCCGGGUUUGGGUAAAANUNUCUUGUGAAAAUCCGAACAAGGCNUAAACUUGUCCGGCGUGCCUUGAGACCACCUACCAAACUUCGAGANCCGGGAGGAGUCAGAGGUAUUUCCAGGGGGAGCGGUAAAAUGUGAUAAUCCUUGGAGGACCAUCUAUGGCGAAGGCAUCUGACCACAACGGAUCUGACGGUGAGGGACGAAGGCUAGGGGAGCGAUCCGGAUUAGAUACCCGAGUAGUCCUAGCAGUAAACGCUGUGAGCAAGAUGUUACGCAUCUCUUGAGGAUGCGUAGUGUCGAAAUGAAGAUGUUAAGCUCACCGCCUGGGAAGUACGGUCGCAAGACUGAAACUUUAAGGAAUUGGCGGGGGCGCACCACCAGGGGUGCGGCGUGCGGUUUAAUCUAACGAUACACAGAGAACCUUACUAGAGGCGACGGCAGGAAGAAGGUCAGCCUGAAGGGCUUACCCGACGAGCCGAGAGGUAGUGCAUGGCCGCCGUCAGCUCGUGCCGUAAGGUGUCCAGUUAAGUCUGGCAACGAGCGAGACCUAUACCCUCUAUUGCUAACAGCUACAUGUAGGACUGAGCACUUUGAGGGGACUGCCUUGGAAACAAGGAGGAAGGUGUAGGCAACGGUAGGUCUGUAUGCUCCGAAUCUUCUAGGCUACACGCGCGCAACAAUGGUAUUGACAAUGGGCUGCAACUCCGAAAGGAGAAGCUAAUCCUUUAAACAUUACCUCAGUUCGGAUUGCGGAUUGUAACUCAUCCGCAUGACGCCGGAAUCCCUAGUAAACAGAUUUCAUCAAAUUCUGUUGAAUAUGUCCCUGCCCCUUGCACAC